GAUGAACGCUGGCGGCGUGCCUAAUACAUGCAAGUCGAGCGAACAGAUGAGGAGCUUGCUCCUCUGACGUUAGCGGCGGACGGGUGAGUAACACGUGGAUAACCUACCUAUAAGACUGGGAUAACUUCGGGAAACCGGAGCUAAUACCGGAUAAUAUAUUGAACCGCAUGGUUCAAUAGUGAAAGACGGUUUUGCUGUAACUUAUAGAUGGAUCCGCGCCGCAUUAGCUAGUUGGUAAGGUAACGGCUUACCAAGGCAACGAUGCGUAGCCGACCUGAGAGGGUGAUCGGCCACACGGGAACUGAGACACGGUCCAGACUCCUACGGGAGGCAGCAGUAGGGAAUCUUCCGCAAUGGGCGAAAGCUUGACGGAGCAACGCCGCGUGAGUGAUGAAGGUCUUCGGAUCGUAAAACUCUGUUAUUAGGGAAGAACAAAUGUGUAAGUAACUAUGCACGUCUUGACGGUACCUAAGCAGAAAGCCACGGCUAACUACGU
rnacentral:rRNA from 1 species